rnacentral:rRNA from 1 species
AUUGAACGCUGGCGGCAUGCCUUACACAUGCAAGUCGAACGGCAGCACGGGAGCAAUCCUGGUGGCGAGUGGCGAACGGGUGAGUAAUAUAUCGGAACGUGCCCAGUCGUGGGGAUAACGUAGCGAAAGCUACGCUAAUACCGCAUACGAUCUAUGGAUGAAAGCGGGGGAUCGCAAGACCUCGCGCGAUUGGAGCGGCCGAUAUCAGAUUAGGUAGUUGGUGAGGUAAAGGCUCACCAAGCCGACGAUCUGUAGCUGGUCUGAGAGGACGACCAGCCACACUGGGACUGAGACACGGCCCAGACUCCUACGGGAGGCAGCAGUGGGAAUUUUGGACAAUGGGCGGCAAGCCUGAUCCAGCAAUGCCGCGUGCAGGAUGAAGGCCUU